rnacentral:rRNA from 1 species
GACGGAGGGGGCUAGCGUUGUUCGGAAUUACUGGGCGUAAAGCGCGCGUAGGCGGCUUGAUCAGUUGGGCGUGAAAGGCCUGGGCUCAACCCGGGAACUGCGCUCAAUACGGUCUGGCUUGAGUUCGGAAGAGGGUAGUGGAACUCCCAGUGUAGAGGUGAAAUUCGUAGAUAUUGGGAAGAACACCAGUGGCGAAGGCGGCUACCUGGUCCUACACUGACGCUGAGGCGCGAAAGCGUGGGGAGCAAACAGG